GACGAACGCUGGCGGCGUGCUUAACACAUGCAAGUCGAACGGAAAGGCCCUGCUUGCCGGGUACUCGAGUGGCGAACGGGUGAGUAACACGUGGGUGAUCUGCCCUGCACUUCGGGAUAAGCCUGGGAAAAUGGGUCUAAUACCGGAUAGGAGACAUUUUUAUUGUGAUGGUUGGAAAGUUUUUUUGGCGUGGGAUGAGCUCGCGGCCUAUCAGUUUGGUGGUGGGGUAAUGGCCUACCUAGGCGACGGCGGGUAGCCGGCCUGGGGGGGUGGACGGCCACAGUGGGACUGGGAUACGGCCCAGACGCCUACGGGGGGCAACAGGGGGGAAUAUUGCACAAUGGGCGCGAGCCUGAUGCAGCGACGCCGCGGGGGGGAUGACGGCCUUCGGGUUGGAAACGCCUUUCGCUAGGGACGAAGCUUUUUGUGACGGUACCUAGAAAAGAAGCACCGGCUAACUACGUG
rnacentral:rRNA from 1 species